CGGGCUACCUGGCGCAGCGGGGCGUGCGCGUUUCGCCGGAACGCGACGGCGUGCGCGUAUCGUUCGGCGUCUUCAAUACCCCGG
rnacentral:tRNA from 1 species